rnacentral:rRNA from 1 species
GACGAACGCUGGCGGCGUGCUUAACACAUGCAAGUCGAACGGAAAGGCCCUGCUUUUGUGGGGUGCUCGAGUGGCGAACGGGUGAGUAACACGUGAGUAACCUGCCCUUGACUUUGGGAUAACUUCAGGAAACUGGGGCUAAUACCGGAUAGGAGCUCCUGCGGCAUGGUGGGGGUUGGAAAGUUUCGGCGGUUGGGGAUGGACUCGCGGCUUAUCAGCUUGUUGGUGGGGUAGUGGCUUACCAAGGCUUUGACGGGUAGCCGGCCUGAGAGGGUGACCGGCCCCAUUGGGACUGAGAUACGGCCCAGACUCGUACGGGAGGCAGCAGUGGGGAAUAUUGCACAAUGGGCGGAAGCCUGAUGAGGCAACGCCGCGUGCGGGAUCACGGCCUUCGGGUUGUAAACCGCUUUCGCCUGUGACGAAGCGUGAGUGACGGUAAUGGGUAAAGAAGCACCGGCUAACUACGUG